AAUCCCAUGAAAUAGGGAUAUCCUCAGCAAGUCUUUGAAUCUCUCCCAAGCCUCAAAAAGAGACUCAUCUUUUUCCUGCCUAAAAUUAGAAAUUUGGAUUCUUAUU